CUACUACUCCCUCUAUCCCAAAAAUUUUCUUGUCUUAGAUUUGUCUAAAUACGGAUGUAUAUAGUUACAUUUUAGUGUUAAAUACAUCCGUAUCUAGACAGAUCUAAGACAAAAAAUUUAAGACGGAGGGAGCACAUG
rfam:Triticum aestivum genome assembly, contig: Triticum_aestivum_CS42_TGACv1_scaffold_222881_3B